rnacentral:misc_RNA from 1 species
ACACCUCAACUCUCACGGUUCGCCGCGAUGAGCUUGGAGUCUGGAGGUUUUGCUGGUCUCUGGUCAGCUCCUCUCAAAUGAAUCAGCUUGCCAGUAUCUGGUGGCAUCAUGGGUGUGAUAACUAUCUACGCUCAGGACCGUCUGCCAGGUAACCUCCAGCGAUGGAGGUUUGCUGGGGCUCACAAACGUCUCUCCCUCAGCGAGGACAGCUUUUUUAAC